AAGCACAGUUUAGUGUCUUGGUGUCUUGUCUGGCCUUCCAAGCCUCAUUCUUGUGCAAGAUCCAGUUCCAGUUUGCAGAAGGGCUAAGCUUUUACUUGUAGCUUGUCCCUUUCAAAGACUGUGGGCACUACU